rnacentral:rRNA from 1 species
ACGUACACUCCUACGGGAGGCAGCAGUGGGGAAUAUUGCACAAUGGGCGCAAGCCUGAUGCAGCCAUGCCGCGUGUGUGAAGAAGGCCUGCGGGUUGUAAAGCACUUUCAGCGGGGAGGAAGGCGAUACGGUUAACAACCGUGUUGAUUGACGUUACCCGCAGAAGAAGCACCGGCUAACUCCGUGCCAGCAGCCGCGGUAAUACGGAGGGUGCAAGCGUUAAUCGGAAUUACUGGGCGUAGAGCGCACGCAGGCGGUCUGUCAAGUCGGAUGUGAAAUCCCCGGGCUCAACCUGGGAACUGCAUUCGAAACUGGCAGGCUUGAGUCUUGUAGAGGGGGGUAGAAUUCCAGGUGUAGCGGUGAAAUGCGUAGAGAUCUGGAGGAAUACCGGUGGCGAAGGCGGCCCCCUGGACAAAGACUGACGCUCAGGUGCGAAAGCGUGGGGAGCAAACAGGAUUAGAAACCCCAGUAGUCCCAAGAU